GUUCAUUGGAGAUGUCUCUUCGUCUCUAAGAGAUACCUUCAAGAGGCACCAAUGUUGUCUAUUAUGAAGAGACGCGUCCAUUUAAAUUUAAACUAAAUUUAGAUUUCCAAAUUAAAACCGGAAAACAAAUUGAAUUUACUUUUCCAAAUUAAAACCCGAAAACAAAUUGCAUGCCUUUUGAGCAUAUCCAACAACGUAGAAUUGUUGAAUGUGAAAACUACAGGGAGACCCAUUCUCUCCGAUUUUUCCAUUGUGAAACUCAUGCUCAGAAAACUACAGACGCGCACCCAUCUUGUGGAGAAAAAUUAUUCUCAAACCCAAAUUUAUAUACAGAACUCUGUUUUUAUUUUUCUUCUUCUUCAUCUUCUAUUUCAGAUUCAUAAAAUUUGAGAAACUACAUCUUCAAUUCGUCUUCUUCUUCCUCCCAACUCAAGCACCUGCUCCUGCCCCAAUCAGUGAUGUUGCAGAGAAAGAUGGAAGAGCGGAGGAGACAGAGUUGUUACGAUUUCAUCCAGAAAAAUAAGACUUUGCACGGGGACACACGUGUUUUAGCAAUACGUGACGUGUACUUCAGUCAAAAUUCUAGAUUGAUCUAAUGCUUUGGGCUUUGAUAUGUCACCCUAUUACUUACUGAAGUUUGCAUACAACUUUCUUUUUUAGAACGAUUUUUUGGGGACCAUGGUUUUUUCGGGGACCAUGGUUUUAUUUUGGGUAAAGACAUUAGGUCACCCUAUAUCUAGUUAUUUAUUUAAUACCUAA